rnacentral:rRNA from 1 species
UAUUGCACAAUGGGGGAAACCCUGAUGCAGCGACGCCGCGUGAGCGAAGAAGUAUUUCGGUAUGUAAAGCUCUAUCAGCAGGGAAGAGAAUGUCGGUACCUGACUAAGAAGCACCGGCUAAAUACGUGUCAGCAGCCGCGGUAAUACGUAUGGUGCAAGCGUUAUCCGGAUUUACUGGGUGUAAAGGGAGCGUAGACGGAUGGGCAAGUCUGAUGUGAAAACCCGGGGCUCAACCCCGGGACUGCAUUGGAAACUGUUCAUCUAGAGUGCUGGAGAGGUAAGUGGAAUUCCUAGUGUAGCGGUGAAGUGCGUAGAUAUUAGGAGGAACACCAGUGGCGAAGGCGGCUUACUGGACAGUAACUGACGUUGAGGCUCGAAAGCGUGGGGAGCAAACAGG